CCCUACGGGGUGCAGCAGGCGAGAAAACUUUGCAAUGUGCGAAAGCACGACAAGGUUAAUCCGAGUGGUUUCUGCUAAAGGAACCUUUUGUUAGUCCUAGAAACACUGACGAAUAAGGGGUGGGCAAGUUCUGGUGUCAGCCGCCGCGGUAAAACCAGCACCUCAAGUGGUCAGGAUGAUUAUUGGGCCUAAAGCAUCCGUAGCCUGCUUUGUUAGUUUUCGGUUAAAUCCAUACGCUUAACGUAUGGGCUGCCGGGAAUACUGCAAAGCUAGGGAGUGGGAGAGGUAGACGGUACUCGGUAGGAAGGGGUAAAAUCCUUUGAUCUAUUGAUGACCACCUGUGGCGAAGGCGGUCUACCAGAACACGUCCGACGGUGAGGGGUGAAAGCUGGGGGAGCAAACCGGAUUAGAUACCCGGGUAGUCCCAGCUGUAAACUAUGCAAACUCGGUGAUGCAUUGGCUUGAUGCCAAUGCAGUGCCGCAGGGAAGCCGUUAAGUUUGCCGCCUGGGAAGUACGUACGCAAGUAUGAAACUUAAAGGAAUUGGCGGGGGAGCACCACAAGGGGCGAAGCCUGCGGUUCAAUUGGAGUCAACGCCAGAAUCUUACCCGGAGAGACAGCAGAAUGAACGUCAAGCUGAGACUUUACCAGACAGCUGAGAGGAGUGCAUGGCCACGGCGAUU
rnacentral:rRNA from 1 species